GACGAACGCUGGCGGCGUGCUUAACACAUGCAAGUCGAACGGAGUGGCGAACGGGUGAGUAACACGUGGGUGACCUGCCCUGCACUUCGGGAUAAGCCCGGGAAACUGGGUCUACUACCGGAUCGUGUGGGAUGGGCCCGCGGCCUAUCAGCUUGUUUGUGGGGUAAUGGCCUACCAAGGCGGCGACGGGUAGCCGGCCUGAGAGGGUGGACGGCCACAUUGGGACUGGGACACGGCCCAGACUGCUACGGGAAGCAGAGGUGGGGAAUAUAGCACGCUGGGCGGAAGCCUGAUGCAGCGACGCCGCGUGGGGGAUUACGGCCUGCGGGUUGUAACGCCUUUCACCAUCGACGCGGUAGAUGGGGAAGAAGCACCGGCUAACUACGUGCCAGCAGCCGCGGUAAUUC
rnacentral:rRNA from 1 species